rnacentral:rRNA from 1 species
AUGGACGGUCCUCGCCGGCUCCUCGCGCUCGCGGUCCUCCUCCUCGCCUCCGCGUACGGAGCGGACGCCGCCGGCCUCCUCCGCGCGCCGCCGACCGGGUACAAGUACAACGCGACCUUUACCUUCACCGGGGAAUUCCUCGUCCUGCUUUCCUGCAUGGGCCCGGCCAACGGCACGGCGGCGUACGGGCACGGCGGGAUCAUCCACAGCUGCACGCUCGACCAGCUCAAGGAAGGCAGCUCCGCGCCGGAGACGACGCCCUUCAAGUUCAAUCACGGGCACGGCUACCCGGCCCCGUCGCCGCGCGCAGCACCGCCGGAGGACGGCCUCCUGCAAGCUGCAGCAGGGGGAGAGCAGGAGCAGCACGUGGGCGCAGCUCCAGCGGUGGCUCUUCCUCUUGGUCGACGUCGACGACGUCGCCUUCGACACUGCCUACAGCGGUGGCCCUUCGCCAACGGGCACGGCCACCCGCCGCGCAACUUGAACGCGGUCAAUCACGGGCACGGCCACCCGCCCCCCUCGCCGCCAGGGCACGCAGACCCUCCGGCGGACGGCCUCCUGCAAGCUGCAGCAGGGGGAGCUGGGCCGCCGCGUGAACACGCCGUGGUGCAGCCGCAACCGCAACGGCGGCUACCACCACAUCCACAUGGAGGCAGAGGUGGAGAGGAGAAGCAGCACGCGGGCGCAGCUCCCGCCGUGGCUCCUCGUCGACGUCGCCUCCGACACUGCCUACAGCGGUGGUCCUGCGCCGACGGCAGGACCACGCCGGCGCGCAGCUUGGACGCGGUCAGCGACGGAGGAAAGAAGAAGGGAGAAGAAGAUGAAAACUGA